UUAGUUUGUAGGUGUGAACAGUUCACCAUACAGAAUGGGUUGGAAGGGUGCUGGAGAGGAUGCUGGGAGUUGAACCCCAAUUGCUUCCCUGUGGGCUGGGGGGAGGCAUGGGGACAGCAGAGAGCAGGGAAGUUACAACUGGUCCCAGUCCUGGGUUUUCUUUCUCUUUCUGUUUCAGACAUGUCCUUCGAUAACUCCCUGUUUACCAUCUCCCCGAAAAUGACGCCAGAAGACCCAGCCAGCUUGGAUGAUCACUCAGGGACCACCGCCACCCCCGGCAACUCCAGGACCCGGAAGAGGCCCACUUCCACAUCCUCCUCACCUGAGCCCCCGGAGUUCAGCACUUUCCGGGCCUGCCAGUGAGGCUGAGGACUGGGGGCUCUGUCUCCAGGCAUUCGGGGCCUGAGGUCCCUCCAGCCACUUCUGGGGUGGAGAGGGGGCUCUGUUGGCUGCUUUCUCAGGGAAUUGGACAGGAAAUGAAGGGGAACCCUGGCCUUAGGGUUUUCAUCACAGAGGAGUGGGAGAGAGGGCAAAGGCAUGGGCCUGGCACUGGAGAGGCAACAGGAAGUUCCCCUCUCGACCUUCAGCUCCUCAGGACCACCAGAGAAGGAGAUGUCAGGACCCCUUCUGGUCCCCCAUCUGGGACGUAAGGGGUCGCAGGUCUCUGCACACCCCUGGAGUUCCUCCCUUCCCCGCUGGGUUUUUGAGCAUAGGGUGCCCUUGGGUGUGUUGAGUGUGUCUGCCUGCUGGCUUACCUAAGUUAUUAAUUAUAACACGUGUCAAGGUGUUC